CCCAGGGAAACUUGGAUUAAUGCCCCAUGGUACCGCGAUAUCGCAUGAUAUUGCGGUUAAAGAUUUAUCGGACAGGGAUGGCCAUGCGUACCAUUAGUUAGUUGGUGGGGUAACGGCCCACCAAGGCAGCGAUGGUUAGGGGCCCUGAGAGGGGGAUCCCCCACACUGGUACUGAGACACGGACCAGACUCCUACGGGAGGCAGCAGUGAGGAAUAUUGGACAAUGGGCGGGAGCCUGAUCCAGCCAUGCCGCGUGCAGGAUGACGGCCCUAUGGGUUGUAAACUGCUUUUAUACGGGAAGAAAUGCGCCCACGUGUGGGCGUCUGACGGUACCGUAAGAAUAAGGACCGGCUAACUCCGUGCCAGCAGCCGCGGUAAUACGGAGGGUCCGAGCGUUAUCCGGAAUCAUUGGGUUUAAAGGGUCCGUAGGCGGGCCUGUAAGUCAGGGGUGAAAGUUUGUGGCUCAACCAUAAAAUUGCCUUUGAUACUGCAGGUCUUGAGUCAUGGUGGGGUCGCCGGAACAUGUGGUGUAGCGGUGAAAUGCAUAGAUAUCACAUAGAACACCGAUCGCGAAGGCAGGUGGCCAACCAUGUACUGACGCUGAUGGACGAAAGCGUGGGUAGCGAACGGGAUUAGAUACCCCGGUAGUCCACGCCGUAAACGAUGGAUACUAGCUGUGGGGACUUCGGUCUCCGUGGCCAAGCGAAAGUGAUAAGUAUCCCACCUGGGGAGUACGUUCGCAAGAAUGAAACUCAAAGGAAUUGACGGGGGCCCGCACAAGCGGUGGAGCAUGUGGUUUAAUUCGAUGAUACGCGAGGAACCUUACCAGGGCUUAAAUGCAGGCUGCAUGGGGUAGAGAUACCCCUUUCUUCGGACCGCCUGCAAGGUGCUGCAUGGUUGUCGUCAGCUCGUGCCGUGAGGUGUCAGGUUAAGUCCUAUAACGAGCGCAACCCCUACCGUUAGUUGCCAGCAUGUCAAGAUGGGGACUCUAACGGGACUGCCGGUGCAAACCGUGAGGAAGGUGGGGACGACGUCAAAUCAUCACGGCCCUUACGUCCUGGGCUACACACGUGCUACAAUGGCCGGUACAGAGGGAAGCCACCCCGCAAGGGGGCGCGGAUCUACAAAACCGGUCACAGUUCGGAUCGGGGUCUGCAACUCGACCCCGU
rnacentral:rRNA from 1 species